rnacentral:rRNA from 1 species
AUUGAACGCUGGCGGCAUGCUUUACACAUGCAAGUCGAACGGCAGCGCGGGCUUCGGCCUGGCGGCGAGUGGCGAACGGGUGAGUAAUACAUCGGAACGUGCCCAGUAGUGGGGGAUAGCUCGGCGAAAGCCGGAUUAAUACCGCAUACGACCUGAGGGUGAAAGCUGGGGAUCUUCGGACCUCGCGCUAUUGGAGCGGCCGAUGGCAGAUUAGCUAGUUGGUGGGGUAAAGGCCUACCAAGGCGACGAUCUGUAGCUGGUCUGAGAGGACGACCAGCCACACUGGGACUGAGACACGGCCCAGACUCCUACGGGAGGCAGCAGUGGGGAAUUUUGGACAAAGGGCGAAAGCCUGAUCCAGCAAUGCCGCGUGUGUGAUGAAGGCCUUCGGGUUGUAAAGCACUUUUGGCGGGAACGAAAAGGACUGUGCCAAUACCACGGUUCGAUGACGGUACCCGCAGAAUAAGCACCGGCUAACUACGUG